CGAGAAGAAGCUGAGCUUUGGGUCUGAUCAGUGCUGCUCUGGGCAGCAAAGACAAAAGCCCCCAGCUUACUGCACCUUUUAUUCAGUACAUCGGGAGAAACAAAUGUAACAGAUGACUUGCAGAGAGUUCAAUAGUUCACAUUGGGAUAAACAAGGUGUAACGGAAGGCUUGCAGGGAGUUCAGUACAUCUCCGGCAAACAAGAUGUUAAUCAGUCCAAGAACAAUGAGGAACUGAGCAGGUGUUUGUUCUCCCAGGAUGUUUCUUGUCCUGGAGAAUCACAGCAUCACUGGGUCACUGAAGUCUCAGUCGUGACCGGAGGCCAAACUGGAGUUAUUCUGUAGCUGGGCUGUAGGCAAGAGAACUAGGCUAACCAAAUGAUUUAUCCCUAGAAUUAUGUAGCAUUGCUCCCAACAUAUCUCCCUUUCUUUUUGUUUUAUGUGAAGGAGUUUUAUUGAAAAGCAAGCACACCCAACAAUGGCUUGUCCUUAUGUUGUGUGAGGAUCUAUAGUUUGACUGGCUUAGCUGUCUAUAAUAAGCAUAAUUUUUCUUAAUUGGGGCUGUAAAAGGAUUAAAAAAUCUAACAAUUUGUUUUUAAACAUUGGGUUUAAAAACUUAAAACUUUUGUUGAACUCAAAUAACUAUUGUCUUUAGUUAUACUUUUCUACUGGGUGUUUAAGACCAAGUUACGGUGAGACCUAUAUUAAAUAAAAUCAAUCUCUUGUUAUCUAACAAGGUCAAUUAAGUCUCCACAGGCACUGUCUUGGAACCAUGCAUAGAGCCUCUUAGCUCCUCUGUCAGUGUCAGCCAUAAGGAUAUGUCACGGCCUUGCUUGACCAUGUUGCUUCCUGCGAAAGCAUGGGAGAUUUUUUUCCUCCAGGUGACAUUCCUUUGGCACACUUUUUGUUGGAUCUUUACUGUUUUGGUGUUCAGCAACCUCCCUGCUCAGGAGGUUGGAUGACUCACCAAAAAUGCAGGAUCUCAGAGAUGGUUCCCUCAUGUCCUGGAUCUUUUUGUUAUUGUUGUUGACCUUGUAGGGCCAGGGCCAAAAUAUUGGCUGCCUUCUUAGCCCAAAUACCUCUUCAGAUUUGGUCUCUAAACUUUGGUUGUUGAACACCCAGAAGAGAAGAUCAAUAACAUUAGCAUUGUAAGAGGAGUAGUGAACUCAACUAUUAUAAUUUUACCUGGAUAUAAGCAUUUUGGAAUAAAAAUAUAGUUAAACUGUUAUUAUUGCCAAUGAUAGUUGCUGUUGUGGUUGGAUCCCUGAGUAGCUAUCUUUUUAUAGGACGUCAUCUAAGGAAAAUAUAUCAGCCUACAAGUGUGCCUAUUUUCAUAGGUGGCUGGAGCAUAAGAGAAGGGCAAAUACCUGAAUCAAAAGGUUAUUACCAUAAACAAUGUUAGAAGACCCAUACAAUUAGAGGGCAUGAAUACAUUUUGUACACCAGAAAAGGAGCAGUAAUAAAUAUCACAGUUACAUAAAACCUUAUGUUCUUCACUGUAGUUUGGUACCAAAACCAUCUUUCUAAUAACACUCUUUUUUAUGACACAGAAUUUAAGCUUUUGAAGAUGACCAAUGUGGACAUAUUACAAUAACAUAUUCAGAACGUAACCAAUGUAAACAUUUUACAAUCACAUAUUUAGCGCUUAAACAUCAAUGAUAACCAAUGUAAUCAAUUUAUAACAUAUUUAGAAUUUAAACUUCAAUGAUAACCAAUGUAAUCAAUUUAUAAUAACACAUUGAGACAAUAUUUGUUGUGGUGUGUCUCCCAUAAGAUUAUAAAAAUUAUUAGGGGGUCCCUUUAGUGAAUUAAGACCAGAAUAAUUAUUUUCUGGGUGGCCACUUCUUUAUUCACCAAAGGGAGUACCCAUAGUCUCUAUCUAUUUUGACAAACAAAGAAUAAGAAUAUAUAUAUCUUCCUAUUUUACAACUGCUUAUUGCAAUUUGAUUAUUCCAAGUAGGUGACAAUAUACAUUACUUUUAUAAAAUAAAUCUCGGUGGCACUUUGAUCAGUUAGCAACCUGGGAAGGAAGGCAUGUCUUUAAUUUAAUAACAUUUAUCUGUAAGCGAAUUUAACAAUAGGUGAAUAUCUUUUUUAAAAAAAACUUUUUUCAAAAGGUGAAAAGGAAAAGAGAAAAAAAUUGAGCUCAACUGUACAAACAGACAAACAACAGACAACAGACAAACAUAUAAGACAAUUUAUAAAAUUAGAGUGCACUCAAAUAUAUUUAGCCAAAUUGAAUCGUAAUAUCCUUUUUAUGAUUAUUAGAUUUAUAAUUGUAUGACUGGUCAAAAACUUUGGAAUAGUCAAUUAACAGAGAUCUAGAGAUUAGAAUCAGAAGGAAUGAAAGCGCUUUUAUACCUGUAAAUAUAAAAGGAGCAUUUUGAAGUUGUCCCCCACCUUCAUAAAUUUUUUACCAUAAAUCUACAAUUAUCAUUCCUCUGGGGGCAUCAUCUCAGUCCUGGACCCUGCCAUGGAUUUGUUGGUUGUCGCUGGUGAGGUGGGUCCCUGAGGUGCCGCUGGCUCAUCGCUUUCAGCCAGGGUGCUGUCACUGAUUCUGUGAGAUGUUGGCGGUUCCACCAGCGUGACCCACGGUCUCACGUUCCAGGAGGGCAGCCACAAGAUUUUUUCAUUAUCUGUUAGGGCACAGGUGAAACCUCUCUCCCACGUUAUUAAGGCAGGAGAAAUUUUUUGACAUAUGGCCUUUUGUAAUCUUAAAAACAAGUUUAAUAAUUUAGGUUCUAAGGUAGAGUAGAUUAUAGCUCCUUAGUCUUUGAGUCAACCAAACUGUGUAAGAGGAAUCAUUUAAAAUAUUAAGAGGUUGGGAAGGGAAGUUUUCAAUCACAAAUAUAAUGGCUAGCAACUCUGACCUCAGUGGACUAAGGCCCAAGUGGGGAGCGGUCAGGGGAGAGACAAUUACCCCUUUGCCAGGCCUCACAGAGAGCGGUACCUACAUGUUCCCAUGAUAUUAAGUUAAGCUGUCCCUUCCUGGGGAAAAGAUGGGACAUACAUUUGCAUGCCUUUUAACAAAUCUUCACAGCACCCUUAGGUACUGGGUACAUAGCUUGCUUUAACAGCGAAUUAAGUAAUUUGGCAAAGUUAUGCUGUUCUGUUGACAGAGACUGACCCAUAGUUAAAACUCAGCAAAGAUAGAAAAUUACCCCCAGCUGGACACACUUACCACCGGUGUCCCUCGUCCUAGUCCGGAAAUCGUCCUGGGAGAUCCGUGUGCUGUCUCUCUUACUCCAAGUUUGUCUCACAGGCGAGUUCACCCCUGGAUCCGAUUCACAUCCACGUUGGGCGCCAAAUGUAGGGGACAGGGGAAGGGGACAUUACCAGAACCUCUGCAGUUAGUCCUGGUCUCCUGCGAGCCACGGCAGCACAUGGCGAAUUACAGGAAAGGUAGAAAAAUGAGACCUGUCAGGUAAAAGUGCCGAAGACCAAGACCAGACCAGGCCACAACAAGCCUUUAUUAGGGGAAUAGAUCUGCCGGGCUGUCUCUGAACAAAGGAGAGACAAAAGCAAUAUGGCUGGGGCAGGGAGAGUCUUUUAUAGAGACUGGGGUGGGGCUUGUAGGGGCUGAGGUGGGGUUGAGUGAGGUAGUGAUCAGGGAGUGGAGGAG
ensembl:lncRNA